rnacentral:rRNA from 1 species
GACAGAGGGUGCAAACGUUGUUCGGAAUUACUGGGCAUAAAGCGCACGUAGGUGGUCCGCUAAGUCGCGUGUGAAAUCCCCCGGCUCAACUGGGGAGGGUCACGCGAUACUGAUCGACUCGAAGGCAGGAGAGGGUAGUGGAAUUCCCGGUGUAGUGGUGAAAUGCGUAGAUAUCGGGAGGAACACCAGUGGCGAAGGCGACUACCUGGCCUGUUCUUGACGCUGAGGCGCGAAAGCUAGGGGAGCAAACGGG